AAUUUUCGGCAAUGGGCGCAAGCCUGACCGAGCAACGCCGCGUGGAGGAUGACGGCUUUCGGGUUGUAAACUCCUUUUCGGGGGGAAGAGUUUGACGGUACCCCCGGAAUCAGGCUCGGCUAACUCUGUGCCAGCAGCCGCGGUAAGACAGAGGAGCCAAGCGUUGUCCGGAUUGACUGGGCGUAAAGCGCACGCAGGUGGUCGCGCAAGUGCCGUGUGAAAGCCGGUGGCUUAACUGCCGGAGGCCAUGGCAGACUGCGUAACUCGAGGCCGAGAGAGGUCCGUGGAAUUGCCGGUGUAGUGGUGAAAUGCGUAGAGAUCGGCAGGAACACCCAAGGAGAAAUCAGCGGACUGGCUCGGAACUGACACUGAGGUGCGAAAGCGUGGGGAGCGAAC
rnacentral:rRNA from 1 species